rnacentral:misc_RNA from 1 species
AGCCCCCUUCCAUCUCUACUGCAAACUACUGGCUAUGUCAAUCUUCACAGCACAUAGACAGCCUCCAUUUUUUGUUCUUUUCUUGUUUUAUUCGCCCACAAAUAUGGCCCAAUUACUACACCAUUCAAAACCCCAACUCAUAAAUACUUUCCAGCUUUUCCUCCAAAUUCAACACUAAAUCCAAUAAUUAACUGCUGUCCCAGUAAACCUGCUAGCCAU